rnacentral:RNase_P_RNA from 1 species
GGGGUUUAAGAGGCGGUUGCGCAGGAAGGAGUGCUUCCUGUGAGGAAAGUCCGGGCUCCAGAGGGGAGGAUGCCGGGUAAUACCCGGAGGGAGUAAUCCCUGGAAAGGGCCACAGAAAAGAGACCGCAAGCGGCCCUGUCUUGAAUGAGGCAGGGUGCGAGCAAGGGUGAAAAGGUGGGGUAAGAGCCCACCGCAGGCUGAGGUAACUCAGCCUGGCACGGUAACCCCCAUCCGGAGCAAGGCCAAAGGGAGCCUAAGGGUGCCCCGCCCAAAUGGGCUCAGGUAGGCCGCUUGAAGCCAAGGGUAACCUUGGCUCAAGAGAAAUAACCGCCCUGAGGAAAACCCAUCCUCAGAACAGAACCCGGCUUACUUAAACCCCUGCU